GUGGGUGACACCUCACCUGGCUCAGGUGACACACCUGGGACACACCUGGGACAGGUGACACCUCACCUGUGACCACCUGGGACACACCUGGGGCAGGUGUCAGCUCACCUGGGGCAGGUGUCACCUCACCUGGCUCAGGGGUCACACCUGGGGCGCGCGGCAUCCCCGCCAAGAAACCCGUGGCCGACUACUUCCUGUGACCACCUGGGGUGGGUGACGCACCUGGGACACACCUGGGUCAGGUGACACCUCCCUUGGCUCAGGUGACGCACCUGGGACAGGUGACACAGCCCUGGGACAGGUGACACCUCACCCGGGGCGGGUGUCACCUCACCUGGCUCAGGUGACGCACCUGCAACAGGUGACACAGCCCUGGGGCAGGUGACACCUCACCUGGCUUAGGUGACACACCUGGGACACACCUGGGGCAGGUGACACCCCACCUAGGGCAGAUGUCACACCUGGCUCAGGUGACACACCUGGGGUGGGUGACACACCUGGGACACACCUGGGACAGGUGUCACCUCACCUGGCUCAGGUGACACACCUGGGACACACCUGGGGCAGGUGGCACCUCACCUGUGACCACCUGGGACACACCUGGGACAGGUGUCACCUCACCUGGGGACACCUGGGACUCAGCUGGGGUGCAUCUGGGGCAGGUGACACACCUGGGGUAACAGCUGGUGCCUCACCUGGCUCAGGGGUCACACCUGGGGCAGGUGCCACACCUGGGACAUUCUGUGACCUUUGGGUGACCCCUGGGUGACUUCAAUGACCUCUGGGUGACCCCGUGACCUUUGGGGACCUCUGAUGACCCCCCAGUGACCCCUGGGUGCCCCUCCCCCCCCCUCGGUGACCAUCGGGUGACCUCAUUGACCCCCUGGGGCCACUCGGAACCUUUGACCCCUCCCUUUUUUCCCCUCCCCCCCCCCCAUGCAAAUUUGGGGGCCAAAAUGGGCAAUUUUUGUUGGUUUUUCUUUUUUUU